UACAGAGGUGGCGAGCGUUAUUCGGAAUUAUUGAGCGUAAAGGGCGCGUAGGCGGCCAGCACAAGUCAGUUGUGAAAUCUCCGGGCUUAACCCGGAAAGGUCAACUGAUACUGUGCGACUAGAGUGCGGAAGGGGCAACUGGAAUUCUCGGUGUAGCGGUGAAAUGCGUAGAUAUCGAGAGGAACACCUGCGGCGAAGGCGGGUUGCUGGGCCGACACUGACGCUGAUGCGCGAAAGCCAGGGGAGCGAACGGG
rnacentral:rRNA from 1 species